CCUUUUUUCUUUUUUCAUUUUUAGACAGGGUUUCCCUAAAUUGCUCCAUCUGGCCUCAAACUUAGUAAUCCUUCUGCCUCAGCCUCCUGAAUGACUGGGAUUACAAGUGUGGGGUACCACGCUCAGCUUGGUGAAGGCCUUCUUAUUUCAUCCUUACAUAGUAGUAGAAGAAAAGAGAGUGAAUUCUCUCACUCAAGUUUUUUUUUUUCUUCCUGUACCAGGAAUUGAACAACCCAUUGGCAUUUACCAAUGAGCCAUAUCCCCAGCUCUUUUUAUUUUUAAUUUUGAGACAGGAUCUUACUAAGUAACUUGCUAUCUUCCUGACUCAGCCUCCCAAGUCACCACCUGCACCCAGCUACCUCAAGACUUAUUAAGAGUCCUGAUGCCGUCCGGGAGGGCUCUGCCCUCUUGAUUUAUCACCUCCUAAAGGUCCUACCUCUUAAUACUAUCACACUGACAACCAAGUUUCAACAUAUUAAUUUAGGGGAUACAUUCAGACCAUAGCAAAGUUAAGAGAAAAGAGAGAUCACCUUUGCUGUGUAGAAAUGAAGGAAUGGUAUUUGAACUGACACUGAAGAAUUUUUAUAAAAGUUCACCAUCUGGGAAUGGCCUGCACAAUAGCUUGUUUUUUAGAGAAUCUGAGUGAAAAUCAAUAAAUAAAGUUGUUUUUAAUAGAGCACAAGGGUCUAGGGAAUAGCUCAGUGGCUGAGUGCUUGCCUAGCAUGUACAAAGUCCUGGGUUUAGUCCUCAGCACUGCAAAAAGAAAAAAAAAAUAAAGGCCAAGAUUCAUAAGAUGGUAAGAAAAUAAAAAUGAAAGUAAAAACUGAGAAUAUUAGGAAGAAAUUUAUUUUCAGUAUCAUGAUAUUUCCAGGAUUAAGGAGGAAUUUAUUUUUCCUUCCAUGAAAACUUUAGUUCUUUUGAUUCUCUUCUUUGGCUUUUAGAAAAGAAACUGAUAUAGUAAUGAUCUUAGGUAUCAAAUAAUGAGAAUAGGGGAGAGAUUAAAGUCUCACUAGACAUAUUUAUGCUUUAAUAUUUGCUUUUGAUAAUAUUAAAUUUAAAUUAUUAGAUUUUUUAAAUAUUUUUUUAAUUGUAGUUGGACACAAUACCUUUAUUUUAUUUACUUUUAUGUGGUGCUGAGGAUCGAACCCAGGGCCUUGCAUGUGCUAGGCAAGUGCUCUACUGCUGAGCCACAACCCCAACCCUAUUAGAUGGAUUUUAAAACAGACUUCAGGGUUAGUAAAGAAAACACAGGCCCUUAUUGCAUUGUGUUCCAUGCUCCUCAAGUCACAGGGUCCUUGGGGCUAGGGGUGUGGUUCAGUGGUAGAACUCUUGCCAGGCUUUUCUGGUUUCCAUCCCCAGUAUCAUACACCACACACACACACACACACACACACACACGUACACACUUGAGUGCGAAUGCACACACACCUGCACACACAAGUCACAUGAUCCUGAUGUUUUUUUUCUUCCCUUGAAAAUUCCUAUCAUUCUGAGACUGUCCAAUUCUAUGGGAGACAACACUCAGCAAAGGAAAAACAUACCCCACACUUACAUGAAGCCCCUUCAGGGCAGUUCCUAAACAUCAGAAUGCAUUCCCUGAUUUUGUUUUGUUUUAUUUAUUUAUUUUGGUACUGGGAGUGGCUCUACUACUUUGAUCCCAGGAGUGGCUCUACUACUGGGCUACAUCCCUGUUUUUAUUUUUUAAAUUUUGAGAUAGGGUCUCACUAAGUUGUUGAGGCUAGCUUCAAACUUUCUGUUCUGCUUCAGCCCCCCAAGUAGCUGGCAAGUACCACUACACCUGUCUAUUUCCUGGUUUUGAAAAAGGAACCCCUAUCCCGUUGCUUGAUAAAACAUAGAAGGUCAAUUUUUAAAGUUUUCUCUAUUCUUUAAGAUUUUACUUUAGAAAAGAAAGAUAAUAUAUGGAAUUGAACUGGGUAGAGAAAAUAGAUUUAAGGCAAUGCUGAAAUUCUUAGAGAAUUUAAUUUACAAAAAUUACAAUAUGAGGUUACAUUUUAUUUUCCUCUGGGGUAUAAAGAGCACUGUGAACUAUCACAUUCUAUGUUAUCAAUUCAUAUUUGACUUUUAUCUUUUAGUGGUAUCUUGAGGGACAUAAUAUUUCUAACAGAUUAAAAAUAAGGGAAAAUUUACAAGUCAAAUAACUAAAAACGUGAUUAACAAACAACAUUGGGGGUAAAAUUCAGUAGUAAAGCGCUUACCUAGCAUGCAUAAGGCUCUGGGUUCAAUCCCCAUCACUAAAGAAAAAAAAGGGGAAUGAUAUUAUGAGUGCACAUACCUACAUUCACGUGCUACUUUCACCAGUUACAAUCUAAACAGAGUUUGGUCCUGUCUCUAGAAACCAGGUCUUCCUUUUCUCUAAGCAAUAGGUUCAUUGGGCAGCUUCUUCUGAGGUCUAACUAAGCCCUGAGGAUCUGAAGUAGAACCUUCUAGAAGACAUUGCUUUUGAUGCCCAACAGACCUCAGCAUCUCUUCUUGAGUACUCUAUGGAAACUUCCCUGGGAAGCAUCUGGGGUCACCGUUAGCAGAUCCGAUUCAUGCUGCUUGUAUCUCCAGCAUGUCAAGCCCUCUCCAAUCUCUAAACCACUCACAUCCAGGAAGGCUUCCUACUAGGCCCCAUGAGGCUAAGUCACCACAAGUCAGGCAGCUAUCAGCCUGGAAAAACCAUCCAGUGGUGAGUUGUACUCUGGUGUUUAUUUUUUUCCCCAUUCUCAUAAGGAAGUAAAUCAAUCUCUCCCACACAACUGAGAGCUUGAAGAAAGGGAAAGUCCAUUCUGUUUGUCCAUUUGCCUAUGCUAGUGCCCUGACCCCUUUCUUUGCUAGUGAAUGAAUACAAGAAAUGAGGUCAAAUGAUAUCCCACUUCUUUUGAUUUCUGGCUUGAUUCUAGAACAAGGAGCAAGGAAAUAUUAGAAUCUAAUAAAACCUCAAACGGAUUUUGGUUUUGACUGUUUUUGUAGUUCUGGUAUUUCAC
rnacentral:lncRNA from 1 species